CGCUGACGAGUGGCGGACGGGUGAGUAAUGCAUAGGAAUCUGCCCAGUAGCGGGGGAUAACUUAGGGAAACUUAAGCUAAUACCGCAUACGCCCUACGGGGGAAAGCAGGGGAUCUUCGGACCUUGCACUAUUGGAUGAGCCUAUGUCUGAUUAGCUUGUUGGUGGGGUAAAAGCCUACCAAGGCAACGAUCAGUAGCUGGUCUGAGAGGACGAUCAGCCACACUGGGACUGAGACACGGCCCAGACUCC
rnacentral:rRNA from 1 species